rnacentral:sRNA from 2 species
UGAUAACCCGCGUGAAGGAUUGCCGUGAAAAGCCCACAGCCCCGCCCCGAUGGUAAUCGGGAUCAGGGGCGCGGACUUGCAACAGAAAGCCUGAACCUUG